ACGCUCGACACCUACGGGGGGCAGCAGUGGGGAAUAUUGCACAAUGGGGGAAACCCUGAUGCAGCGACGCCGCGUGGAGGAAGAAGGUCUUCGGAUUGUAAACUCCUGUUGUUGGGGAAAAAGAGGAUGGUACCCAACAAGGAAGUGACGGCUAACUACGUGCCAGCAGCCGUGGUAAUCUGAGCGGGCUGGACGAAGGC
rnacentral:rRNA from 1 species